rnacentral:rRNA from 1 species
GAUGAACGCUGGCGGCGUGCCUAAUACAUGCAAGUCGAGCGAACAGACGAGGAGCUUGCUCCUCUGACGUUAGCGGCGGACGGGUGAGUAACACGUGGAUAACCUACCUAUAAGACUGGGAUAACUUCGGGAAACCGGAGCUAAUACCGGAUAAUAUAUUGAACCGCAUGGUUCAAUAGUGAAAGACGGUUUUGCUGUCACUUAUAGAUGGAUCCGCGCCGCAUUAGCUAGUUGGUAAGGUAACGGCUUACCAAGGCAACGAUGCGUAGCCGACCUGAGAGGGUGAUCGGCCACACUGGAACUGAGACACGGUCCAGACUCCUACGGGAGGCAGCAGUAGGGAAUCUUCCGCAAUGGGCGAAAGCCUGACGGAGCAACGCCGCGUGAGUGAUGAAGGUCUUCGGAUCGGAAAACUCUGUUAUUAGGGAAGAACAAAUGUGUAAGUAACUAGGCACGUCUUGACGGUACCUAAUCAGAAAGCCACGGCUAACUACG